rnacentral:ncRNA from 1 species
AAUUGGGCGAAGCUACCAUCUGCUGGGUAAUGGCUGAACGCCUCUAAGUCAGAACCCGUGCUAGAAGCGUGGACGAUUUUUUCUUGCUUUGCAAUUAGAAGUGCAGAAAUAGGAAGUCUUCGGGCUUUCGUGUGCCAUAAAUUUGAGGGUCCUGGUAUCUUGAGCGGAAAGGCUUGGGGUACCUGCCUUCGUAAUUACAACGAAAAUAUGCGGGCAAGGGAGGAUCUCUUGCAGACGACUUGAAUGGGAACGGGGUGCUGUAAGCAGUAGAGUAGUCUUGUUACUACGAUCUGCUGAGGCUCAGCCCUAUGUUCUUAGAUUUGU